AUGUUGAGGAGAAGGGCUGUGCAGCAGAGAGGCUCUUUAGUUUUUUCAUUCUACUGCAGUGGAAGAACAUUGCUCAUCUGCUGUCAGUUUGACUUUAACAACUCCAAAGACAUGUUGCUUUACCUCUUUUUACUUUUCUCUCACUUUAUAGCCCUGGGUUCCAUGAACAUCAUAAAGCCAGACAGUACUGAAGAACAUGUUGCAGAGGGAAGAAACAUCAACCUGACCUGUAAAUAUGACGGUGCCAUCUUCAGCAUUCAAUGGUACCGACAAUACCAGAGAUCCAGACCAGAGUUCCUGCUCUACAUCACAGAGGAAGGAUUGAUUCAUCCAACUGAUUCUGAUUUCAAAGCUCACAUUAACAAAACCGAGAAACGUGUACAUCUGGAGAUCAUCUCAGCUAAAGUGACAGACUCUGCUGUGUACUACUGUGCUCUGCAGCCCACAGUGACAGGAAACACCAAAACUCUGUACAAAAACCUUUGGAGCAAAGACAACAGAAUACUCCACAACAUCCACUAGAGGGAGUCACACACUGUUAAGCAGUAAAGAUACAGCACAAAAUAAGGGAAAUGUUAUACAUAAAGUCACUUUAACAUGUGUGUAACAUUUCACAUUUCAUCUCUCCAGUGAUGUUACACAUACUAAUGUAAUAUUUGACGCUGAGCUUCCUUUUUCAUUGACGGACUAAAGUUGUACUGUGAUGAUGAUUUUAUUUUUAAAAAUUCUUACAUUUACAAACCCUGAAAAAGGUGAUCCAUCCUUUAAAUCACUAAUUUAAAUCCAGUAAAAAAAGAAUCAUUAACAGAAAACUUCCCACCUCCAGCUUUUGGAAAAUGCUGCUACCAGUCUGUUAACCAGGAGGAAGAAAAUACAGAUCUAAGAGGAGAGGGAGAGAUUCAGGGAGGAGCUAAGCUGUUACUGAACUAUAGAAGAGAGAGGAACUUCCAUAUUCAGCAGAGUUCAAUACACAAACCAGAAACAUUACCUUUAUCCAACAUGCUGUCACUGCAUCAUUGUGUGUUUUCUCUACUGUUUCUGUACUUUAUAACAGGUAUAUUACAUGCAUCAAGAUGGAGUCUUAGUGUUUGCAACUGUUACAACAUUGUAUAACAGAGUUAUCUCUUCCUUUAGGUGUCAGCUGUGAAGAACUCACUCCAAGAAACAAGAGUUUAGUUUCAAAGACAGCACUGUUACUCUGUCCUACAAUUAUUACAAAGGUAAUGAUGAUUAUUUUUUCUGGUAUCGACAAUAUCCAGGAAAACCACCAGAGUUCCUCAUCUCUCAUCUGAAAUCAGGAGAAAUCUUUGCAAAACCAGUCUCUGGAAUGUCUGUUACAGUGAGUGAGGAUAAAACCCAAAUGGAUCUGCAGAUCUCCUCUGCUGCAGUGACAGACUCUGCUCUGUACUACUGUGCUGUGAGGCCCACAGUGACAGGAAACACCAAAACUCUGUACAAAAACCUUUGGAGCAAAGACAACAGAAUACUCCACAACACCCUCUAGAGGGAGUCACACACUGUCAAACUACAGUGGUAUGUGACUGAGAUGUAAAGCUUUAGAAAUUAAACUACUGACACUGAAAUAGAAAGGAUUAUACCUUUCAGAUAUAAUAAAGCACAAUUCUGAAUGAAGUAGUGAAGCAGUAAAGAUAAAGCACAAAAUAAGUGAAAUGUUAUACAUAAAGUCACUUUAACAUGUGUGUAACAUUUCAUAAAAUUAUAUCAACAAUUAUUGUUACAUAGGCAAGUGCUGUAGAUACAGGUCAUAGGUCUGUACUCUCUUUGUGAUUCAUAUAAUACUAACAAUCAUGAUAUUAUUAACUUCAUUUAUUUUAGUUUGAGUGAGUCCAAUAAUUUGACACUAAACGUCUUUCAGAGACAGGUUAUAAAGAUUUGAUUGAGUACAUUUGACAAUACUAAGUUACAGAGGACAGGGCAGAUACAGGACAGAGGCCAUGUUUAACAAUUAGGACCUCUCUCAUUUUUAUUAUCUUGCUUCUUCUCUCAGGUCUUGCAGGUUGAUCAGUAACUGAGUGGUUUGAGUUCAUGACUCAAGAUGAUGCACUCGGUGCUUGGUCAAAGGUUUGUAUCCUGACCAUGGAAAGCUUUAAGAAAAAUGUCUUAAACUUUCGGAGCUAGUUUGACAUUAGGUCUACAAUAUGUUCCAGAUCUUUUCUAAAUUAUUAAUUGUAUUCAGCUGUUAUGCACACUCAAACAUAUUUUAAACCCAUCUUAAAUUUUGAUUGUUUUGUUAUAUAUUCCAGUUAAUCCAGUAAUUAUGGUAGCAGUUUUAUUAUUUGUAUUAUUAUUAAUAAUAAUUAUUAAAAACUAA
rnacentral:lncRNA from 1 species